rnacentral:tRNA from 1 species
GCCCAUGUAGCUCAGGGGUUAGAGCGCCUCCUUGGUAAGGAGGAGGUCAGGGGUUCAAGUCCCCUCAUGGGCU